CCCGAACUUCCCGUAAAAGAAAAAAAAAUCCCUCGGCGCCCACCUUAUCCACUCCCCCUGCGUCCUCCCACGAUCCUCCCCGGCCAACCUCCCGCCGCCGUCUCCCUGGCUCCGGCGCACCUCCCGCCGCUAGCCCCACGACCCCGGCGUGCUUCCCGCCGCUGCAUCCCUCGGCCCCGGUGCGCCCCCGCCGCCGCCCACCCUGGCUGUGACGCGCCUUCGCCACUACUUCGCCCACCCUGGCCCCGACGCGCCUCCAUCCGCCGCCCCCCGACGCGCCUCCCGCCGCCGCCCUUCCGUUCCCGAUGCGCCUCCUGCUGCCUCCCUCCACCUGCUUCGACGACGGCGCCGGCCACCUCCACCUUCUUCCACCUGCAGCCACCGGCCUCCUACCACAGCAAGCGACCGCCGCGGCCAUCCUCCACCUGUCGCUGUAGCCUUCCUAUCCGACCGCCUCCACGACACGCUGGCCUUCGUCUACCUCUGGCUCCGCUGCUGCCCAAGGUCGUGUGCGCGAUGGCAGCCCAUGUCGUUUAUCGUCCUAGUUGCGUACACGCUGACGAGUGAUGCCCCGAUCCAGCUCCCCCAUCCUCCAGCCACGGCAAGUCCAAAAGAAAUACAUUCAGUCUAGCAAGCUAAAUGGUUGACUACCAGCCCAUGCGUGGAUUGGCCCCGACCUGCAGCUGGAGGAGGCCGCGACCUUCAGCUGUAGGAGACGUCGACCUACAGCUGGAGGAGGCACCGACCUUCAGCUGACAAUUUUGAGGAACUAGCUACUCGGAAAAUCUAACUUGACACCGUGCUUGUUUUUGUUCUUCAGAAGUUCAGGCAACUAGGUUGCUCACUAGGAAAAGCCUGAACCACCAUGAACAAAAGCAAUUUCAUGGCUGAGGCCCAGCAAAUGCAAAGCUUCGUCAUCUUCAUAGUAGAGAGCUUUGCUUGCUUGCUUGCUUCAUGCCUACAACAUGCAUGCACUUUCUAUAUGACCAAAGAAGUCAGAGACCUCAGAGGAGGCAUGUGGACUGUAAGGCAAAACAGGCACAUGGACUCAAGGACUUGUACAUCGGUGAAAUAUGAAGCAUUUUUCAGGCUUCAAGUUUGAGAAGAAGAUGGCAUCAACGAGGAAUGGAGCCGAGGGAGGUUCACAGUUGCGAACAUCGCCGUCUCAACGCUUUUUGGAGCGCCCCUUGAGGAAUCUGUUGACGAUUUGGCCGGCAGCAGCAACAUUUCUUGGCACGUGGGUGCUGCUUUUGGCAGGCAAGCAAGCAGCAACGAGCAGCUGUAGGAAAAAGCUACUAGCAGGAUGUUAGAUUUAGUCGACAGUUGAUGGUGUCAUGUCAUUCCUACUAUUGAAUGCACUCUGAAUUUGUAUGGUCAAUGCUAUGAAUUAUUGAAGCGGAUGGACAAGUUUGUAGAAUACUCAACCAGAUGUGUUAGUCUUCACACAGCAACAGAGGUCGUUUUCAAACAGCAGCACCAAUGUACAUCUUCUACAAACAAAAAAAAGGGAAAAUAUGCUAGUCUUGCUGCUUAUCUACUCUUAAUUUUGAACUAACAAAAAAUUAUUGAUCUGAACUGGCAGGUGUUGAUUGGCUCCUCUCACUCCCUUCGCGAUGCCACUCACCUCGCGUCGCUAGACCAAUGCGGUCGCUGGCAGAAUCCUUUUGUUCAGUAUCCAGCGCAAGCAAUCUGAAUCCGCACGCGCAAGCCUUCUGUUGCCGAGUCAGCCCUCCUUCUGCUGACUGCUUCUGCAGUAGCAAGUUGCGCCACCUGCACUUGUUAUCACCACAAGACGUUCUACUACACCUAUAUGUUCUACUACGACUAAACGCCGGUGGUGGUGAAGUUCUACUACGGCUAUACGCUAAGUUCUACUACAGUUGUAUGUCAGCGACCAUGAAAAUUCUACUACAGAUGUACGCCAAGUUGUACUACAGUUAUACUCCUGUGUGGUUACAGGACAUGUGUGUGUGUGCGCGCGCUUGUAGGAUUGAUGGACGUGUGUUGGCCUAAGCAAUAGGCUUUCUCUCAACA